UAAAGGGGGGAUUAUGUCAGAUAUUUUAUGCUAGAAAACAUGUAUUCUAUAUAUUCUCCAUUUUAUUUUAUUUAAUCAUGUAGUGAUUAUUUCUUUUUGUCCUUGUUCCCUCUAUAAUUGAGAACAAAGAAGUAUUCAUGUAUAUAGAUGUUUCAGUAAGUAUGAUACAAUUAAUAUCAUCUUCCAUGAGAAAGUUAAGGAGUAGACGCUGCAUAUCCUUGGGAACGUGAAUUCGUAUGGGGGAUACAUGGUAAGACUACCAAGUCCUGAGUUACUAUCUAGGAGGUAACACCUGGUGAUAAGGGUGACCAAGGAUAAAUUCCAAACACAUAUGUAAUGGUUUUAAGUUAAUUCUUAGACCAGAGCGUCUCUCACAGGUAAAGUAAGAAAUUACAAUGGUGUAAAUAUGAGUAGAAAUCCUAAUUUUUAUGGGUAAAACCCACUGUUAUGAUUGGAGAAUUCCAAUCAAGAGGUGGAGGCUAUGAUAAUAAGCCCUGUCUUUAAAAGCUAAGGUUUUUAAUAAUUAAGGACUCUCACCUAAGAAACGGACCUUAAAAGAACUGACCCUGUGAUAGAUAGACCCGGACGGGCUGAUUCACCAAAUAAACCGCAGAGAAUUGGAAUUUUAAGAUCCUGACACCAUAUUUCACUCUUGGAGUUACUUUGAGUUCUAACCUAAAGUGAUAUUCUUUCCAUUCAAUUUCUUGCCACUGAACCUGGAUUAAUUUCUACAAGGACCAGUUGGAUCACAGCAACAAGUGGUGGUAAAUAUAAUCGUUUUAUUAUUCUGAAUAGAGAUGAAUUUUGUCUUCUUCAUAUAGAAUUCCCUGUUUCUGGGAAAUAAUAUAUGGCAUUAUUGUAUAUGGCGGCUUGUGAGACUGCAGCUUAUAACCCGUGAUAAUAACAAUAAUGAAAAGGUAUUUUUACCUGUAGAUGAAGUUUGACAUUAUUUGCAUCUAUUAGGAACUUCACUAAAUACUCUUAGACAUUAUUAAAUUAUUUUAAUUUGUCAUAUUAGUUGAACUAAUAUAUAAGAGAGAUAGUGAUAUUUUUAUUACUGCCCUGAUUAUUAUCAAUUUUUGGUUGCUGAGUGGAAUGGAAAUUAAUUGUGUGUUAGACUCAUAAAGUACCAAUUCAUAUUGAUAACUAUCGAUAAUAUACUGUUUUUCAAUUGAUUCAAUUUUUACAUGUUUUAAGAACUUUGUGUUUUAUAUCAUGCACUGUGUGACCCAUAUACAGAUUUUAUAAAUUGCAUUUACAAUAAAUAUUUUUGAUUGAC